rnacentral:sRNA from 1 species
AAAGAAAGUUAUUUUCAAGUUACUAAAAUGUAAAAACAACUAGAUUUUAACCCGCGGUACACCGCGUAGACAAUUCAUUUUUUUAAAUUAAUAUAUAUAAAAUUUGUAAAUUAUUUUAUAGUUUACAAUUGUUACUAAGUAACGUCCUGCCAAAUCCGUCCCGCCAAAUCCAUCCACAAAAAAAA